rnacentral:rRNA from 1 species
AACGAACGCUGGCGGCGUGGAUUAGGCAUGCAAGUCGAACGCGAAAGAGGGGGUAACUCCUCGAGUAGAGUGGCGAACGGGUGAGUAACACGUGAGAAACCUGCCUUCAGCAGGGGGAUAACACUCCCAACGGGUGCUAAUACCGCAUGAGACCACGGAUUCGCAUGGAUCUGGGGUCAAAGGUGGCCUCGUGCUUGCAAGCUACCGGCUGAAGAUGGUCUCGCGUCCCAUUAGCUAGUUGGUGGGGUAAUGGCCUACCAAGGCGACGAUGGGUAGCUGGUCUGAGAGGAUGGUCAGCCAC